GACGAACGCUGGCGGCAGGCCUAACACAUGCAAGUCGAACGGUUGUAGCAAUACAGCAGUGGCAGACGGGUGAGUAACACGUGGGAACCUUCCUAGGGGUACGGAACAACUCAGGGAAACUUGAGCUAAUACCGUAUACGUCCGUGAGGAGAAAGAUUUAUCGCCCUUAGACGGGCCCGCGUCGGAUUAGCUAGUUGGUGGGGUAACGGCCUACCAAGGCGACGAUCCGUAGCUGAUCUUAGAGGAUGAUCAGCCACACUGGGACUGAGACACGGCCCAGACUCCUACGGGAGGCAGCAGUGGGGAAUCUUGGACAAUGGGCGCAAGCCUGAUCCAGCCAUGCCGCGUGAGUGAAGAAGGUCUUCGGAUUGUAAAGCUCUUUUACCAGGGACGAUAAUGACGGUACCUGGAGAAUAAGCCCCGGCAAACUUCGUGCCAGCCGCCGCUGUAAUAC
rnacentral:rRNA from 1 species